AGAGAAGAGGCCGGUGCUACAGGGUUAUCUCGCAGCCUCAGAUGCUGGAUAAGUUGGGAGAGACAGAAUCGCUUUUGGGUGACAUUCAGAACAGCUGGAGUGAUUAUUUGGAAGAGAAAAGCCUACCUAUUCUUUUCCAAG
rfam:Camelus ferus unplaced genomic scaffold scaffold912, whole genome shotgun sequence.